UACGUAGGGCGCAAGCGUUGUCCGGAAUUACUGGGCGUAAAGGGCGCGUAGGCGCCGUUUGCGUCGGAUGUGAAAGCCCGGGGGCUCAACCCUCGGAACGGCAUUCGAUACGGGACGGCUGGAGACCGGGAGAGGAGAGUGGAAUAGCCAGUGUAAGAGGUGAAAUUCGUAGAUAUCGCAAGAACACCAGUGGCGAAGGCGGCUCACUGGCCCGGUACUGACGCUGAGGUGCGAAAGGCGUAGGGGAGCAAACA
rnacentral:rRNA from 1 species